CAAGUGUGUUGACACACACAAGGAAUUUGGUUCCAGUAGUUUGUGACUCUCAAAGUUUGUCUUAGGAUGAACAUGUUAGUCAAAUGAAGAGGAGAGAGAGAGAUGUGUGGCGGAGUGGAGGAUUCGUAACAGCAAUUGGAGCAGUGAACAAAGUGGAUAUUUAGGAACUCCAACGGCUGGUUUGCUCUUGCUGGGACUCCAUAAGAGGGCUGUGUAGAACUCCUGGCUUGACAGCUUUGAGUGGCUUCGCUUUCACCUGUGAACUGUAUGGAAAACAGCAGUUCAGGCAGAACUGCUUACUUUACUGGAUACCAUAACAGGAUACUUUAGCUUGAAGAGGCUAUGUUUUUGAUGCUUUCAGAGGGAGGGAGUAAACAGUUUUCCACUUUGGAAAAGGUUAAAAUCAAGUCAAAUUCGUGGGGAUAUUGAGCAGUUAUAAGCUGCUAAUUUAUGUGAGAUAAGGGAGAAAAGAGAAAAUCUCUGCCAUAUUGUUGCAGUUACUGUAUUUUUGGCCAGCCACAGCCAUGAUAAAAUGGAAGGGUUGGAUCUGAUGAUCUGCUGUGGCGACCCCAAACGGAGAAGUUAGCGGACUCUAGUAGCUAGAGAAGACAUUAAGAAAGAGCAUGGAGAAAAUUAAGACUAGCCCAAGUAAAUGGAGCUCCUAGUACAAUUUGACAUUUUCCUGCAAAUGUCCUUAAUAUAUUUAGAUAUUUAGAUCAUUGUAAUGCCCAUGGUCUUGUUUAUACUAUAUGAAGUCACAGUUGUUGUUUUUUUUGCUUAAUAAAGAGAAAUGAAAAAUAAAUGAUUGUUCAUUUCUAUUUGCAUGACGUAACUUACACUGUAGUUCAACAUAGUUUUAAAAACCUACAUGUGUUCAGUACAGAAACUGCUUUUACAGGACAUUAAUAUCUGGAAUUGCAAGCAUUUUCUGGAGCAGAACUAUUCAAACUGACGGACUUAGCAGUGACAGAAAAUUCAAAAGCUUUUUAAAUGACCAUUUCUGACCUACUAACCUUUAGGCACCAGGAGAUUUCCAUUUUAACAAUUUAAAUAGAAAGAGACCAAAUGUUUAGUCUUAAAAUAUUCCUUAUAACUGCUCCCCGGGUGCCACAGCAUAAAUGGCUGCCCACUGCUCUGAGUGUGUGUUCAAGUGUUUGUGUGUUCACUGCUGUGUGUGUGCACUUUGGAUGGGUCAAAAGCAGAGAACGAAUUCUGAGUAUGGGUCACCAUACUUAUCCGUAUGUCACGUCACUUAAUGAAAAUGGCAGAUCAGCCUCUUGGCAUAGGAAUUAUAGGAAUGAUUGACUUUUACAUAGGAGUUUUGAGUACUGGUUGAACAUCAACAGGACACUGAAAUAACAGAACAUUAAAGCCACCUGCCUAAUACUGUGUAAGUCCUGGUUGUGCCGCCAAAACUGGUUUGACUCAUUGAGGCAAGGACUCCACAAGAUCAGUGGUCCAUUUGUAAGUUUGGUCCUUAACAUAUUGGACUUGUUUGUCCAGCUCAUCUGACAGAUGCUCAGUUGGAAUGAUGUCUAGGGAAUUUGGAGGCCAAAUCAAUACUUUGAACAGUUUGUCAUGUUCCUCAAAUCAUACCUGAAAAGUUUUUGCAUUGUGGCAGGGUGUAUUGUCCUGCUGAAAGAGGCUUCUGCCAUUAGUGAACAAUGUUUGGGUAGGUGGCACGUUAUUUUACGUGUCAGAUUAACAUACGAUUACCAGGACCCGAGUUUUCUCAGCAGAACAUUGCCUAUAGCAUCACACUGCCUCUUAACCUCCUGGUGCCAUCUCUGCCACACAUAAGCAAACACAUGCAGCUGGCCACCUUGUGCGACACUGAUGCUCUGACCCCCGUCUAUCCAGCAUUAAACAUUUACAUUUUUCCAAAAAGUUA